CACAUCAGACGAUCGAAUUUUCAUUCUGUAAAUUUUAGUCAUUAGAAUUGCAACGUGCCUACUAAUGUGAUAUAACAUAUUUAAUAGGUUAUAUGUAAGUGUAAAACAUUGUGAACCAACUAUACAGAGAAAGUAAAAUUUUCAAAAAUCUCGUGAAAUAAGAUGUGAUCAGAAUAAUGAAAUAUGACUAUGGUUGAAAAAUCACGUAUAUCGAGUAACGUCUAGGUCACGAUAGAAGCGGUCAACCAUUUUAAAGCUUAAUAUAGCCUAUGGAAGCCCUAUCGUCGGGACGUAAACGUCUCUAAAUUUUUACAUGGGUAGUUACGUCCCAUCUAUGUGAGAGUUUAACGUGUGGAAGGAUCAACCAAAUUAGGUCACAGAGAUGUAGUUAAGAGCGUUUCUGUGUGAUAAGUGACAAUGAAGUAGGGUUGACAGCUUCGAUCGAGCCCCGAACGUUGUCGAAUACAAUUGAAUUUAAUACUAUAGCCAUAUUUCACUAUAAUGAUCACAUCAGACGGUCAAAUUUUUAUUUUGUGAAUUUUAGUCAUUGGAUUGCAACGUGCCUACUAAUGUAGUAUAACUUGUUUAAUAGGUUAUAGACAAUUGUACAACUUUGUAAACCAACUAUACAGAUAAAGAAAAAUUUAAAAAAAAACUCAUGGAAUAAGAUGUGAUCGAAAUAAUGAAAUACGAUAAUGGUUGAAAAAUCACGUACAUCGGGUAACGUCUAGGUCCCGAUAGAAGCGGUCAACCAUUUUUACGCUUAAUAUAUCCUAUGAGAGCCCUAUCGUCGGGACGUAAACGUCUCCAAAUUUUUACAUGGGUGGUUACGUCUCAUCUAUGUGAGAGUUUAACGUGUGGAAGGAUCGAUCAAACUAGGUCACAAAAAGGUAGGUAAGAGCGUUUCCGUGUGAUAAAUGACGAUGAAUUAGGGUUGACCACUUCGAUUGAGCCCCAAACGUUGCCGAAUACAAUUGAAAUUAAUACCAUAGCCAUGUUUCACUAUAAUGAUCACAUCAAACGGUCAAAUUUUCAUUAUGUAAAUUUUAAUCAUUAGAAUUGCAACAUGCCUACUAAUGUGUUAUAACUCGUUUAAUAUGUUAUAUUCACUAUGUACAACUUUGUCAACCAACUAUACAGAGAAAGCAAAAAUUUCAAAAAAUUUUCAAUUGAAAAUAAGAUUUGAUUGGAAUAAUGAAAUACGACUAUGGUUGAAAAAUCACGUACAUCGGGUAACGUCUGGGUUCCAUUAGAAGCGGUCAACCUUUUUUAUGCUUACGGGAGCCCUAUCGUUAGGACGUAAACGUCUCCAAAUUUUUACAUGGAUGGUUAAGUCCCAUCUAUAUGAGAGUUUAACGUGUGGAAUGAUCGACCAAACUAGGUCACAGAGAGGCAGAUAAGAGCGUAUCCGUGUGAUAAGUGACGAUGGAUUAAGAUUGACCGCUUUGAUCGAGCCCCGAACGUUGCCGAAUAUAGUUGAAUUUAAUACUAUAACCAUGUUUCACUAUAAUGAUCACAUAAAACGGUCGAAUUUUCAUUUUGUGAAUUUUUGUUAUUGAAAUCGUAAUGUGCCUACAAAUGUGGUAUAUAUUUUUCUUUUAUUUUAUUAUUGAGUGAUUUGUCAUUAUACAAAAGUUUUUUCUUUCCUUAUUAUUAGCAUUUAGUCUUUAGAUAAUCACAAUCAACCACCCUAUGUGGACUAAGUCAACGCCCUCAUCAUCCAAUUGCAUACAACGAUACAAAAC
rnacentral:lncRNA from 1 species